AAUUAUUGUGUAAUUAGUGCUUCAAUAAAGAAAAUGUCUUGGGAAGUAAAUAUAAUAUAAAAGAGACGGUAUUGGUAAGAUUUCUACUAUGUGUAAUUAGUGCUAUUUUUUGAGGACCACACGGAGAUAUACCGCGGACUGCAACUAAGACUAGUACGUAAGGCUAUUGUACUUCUCUCGACUGUCUUUGAAUUCAACGAUGCUUACAGCUUCUGAAAUAAUAUCCUUUUCUUUCGUUAUCGUAGCUAAGUACCAUUCUAAUAUUAUUUGAUUCUUGAUACUAAUAUGUUGCUUUGAAGACACAAAUGGAUCAUUGACAUUAGCCAUGGUUCAGUUAGUUGAUAAAACAUUAAAUUUUUUUCGUCUCUCUUUAAAGGAUUUCUUUAUGUCUAAAUUUGGCUUUGAAAUCUACUUAAUUACAGUCUGCAACAUAUAGGUUUCGUCAAUAUCCUGACAGUUUUACGAUAAGGUUUGUUGUGAUUGUUAUCAAGGGCCAAUGCCGAAUUAGUUCCUGUUGUCAACAGUUCUAUAAUUACCCGAAUAUAUUUAUAAAUGUGGAUAUAAGGGGCGUGGAGUGUGGGCGGUCGCGACACUUUGCUGUCAGAAUCAGUUUUCUGGAGUGUCCUGUCCAGUGAGCACUGUUCAGCCAUGCCGAACCACGAGACAACGAGCCUAAUCGCAACUUACCUUAUCCUGGUACUUCUUCUCGCCAGUCUUUGGCUCUUGUACUCCGGAAUGUUUUGAGAUAAUGGUCGGGAAGAGGCAACAAAAAAGACCAAUGGAGGAAAUCGAAAAUACCACAUAAGUUAAUUUUAAGAAACCGUAAUGUUAGACUAAGUUAAGACCCCAAGCAUUUACGAUGACGACGACACCGGGAUAAAAUAAUCAACAAUUAUUCAGUGCUGGGCAUUCCAAUAAAAGAAUUAGAAACACAAAUCAGUACGGUGUGCCAUGUUUUUCAUUCUGUGAAGGUUGUUAUCGUUAUUGUUAAGAACUAAGAGAUUUGUAAUUAAAUUCUUGUAUUUA